CCCUUCGUCGAUCAUGACGGUGGUGCCUCAGGGGACCGCUUGAAGUCCUUGGACCCGGGCGGCCUCUUAGGCUUGCCGGAUGGCCCUAAAGUCCCUGGAUAUCUUUAGGAAAGUAACGCCAAUCUUUUAACCAAGCCGCCGCGCCACGCACCCUCCUCACCCGCCUCUCGGGUCACCACGAACAUCGUACGUGUUAUCAGAGUUACAUAGCACUCUUGAUAGGAAGGUGACGCGAGGCGUGGUAUAGGGCCAGUGGCCGCACCGUGAACGUUGUAGAGAGGAUUAAAAAAAAAGCCUUAUGAACACUUGGGAGAGGAUGGCGGGACACUUUGGAGAGGAUAUGGAGGAGAGUGAUUGUCUCAGAGUUUGUGCCUGCCUGACAUGCGUCGCGCGCGAAGGGAGCGGCGGCAGCGGUAUUAGCUUCUCCGGCACACCCCCAAAGAAUGUGCCGCGAUGUGGCACUUUCCCCGCUCACUUUACAAGCGUCCGUCGGGCAUAGGCCUGAAUAACACAGGCGUAGGAUCGCAGGGCUGGGGUUACAUUGAGAACUUGUGAAGGAUCACGAAAGUGCAUGUCACAGGAUGAGAAGCUCCUCACAACAAAUGAUGAAGCUGAAGUUUAGUCAACUCCUUGGUUGAAUUUUUCGUGGAAGCAUGAUGACGUUAAAAAGCACCCAUCUAUACGUCUUGCACUUGCACGACUUCAGGAUGACUACCGGCAUUGUGAAAUAAAACAUUAUCUGCUCAUUUGCAAAGA